GGGACCAGGGCUCCUGCAACCUGCCUCCACGCAGCACGUUAAAAACAUUUUCUUGCCUUCUCCCUCCAAAGGAGGUGGAGAGAGGAGGAAAAAGCCCUCUUGAUGUUUUCCUGCCCAGCUACCAUCAAAUCCCGACCUGAGGAAUGCCAGGUGAAGAAGCCGGCCUCUCGCUCCAGGAAAGAGGCACAAGAAGCCGGGCAGCAGCCACUGCAGAGCCUGCUCAGAAGUUCGCUCCCUCUGUCACAGUGUGUGCAGCUUGCCAGGUAUAGCCGGGAUGAGAACACCCCGUGCUUUUCCCAGGAUGAAUGAGAUCAGCACAUAUUCAGUCAAGGGGAAAAAAAAAUAAAAAAUAAAUAUAUGUGAUGGUUUAAGACCCA